rnacentral:rRNA from 1 species
UACGUAGGCAGCGAGCGUUGUUCGAAUUAUUGGGCGUAAAGGAUGCGUAGGCGGCUUCUUAAGUCUGGUGUGAAAUCUCCCGGCUCAACUGGGAGGGUGCGCCGGAUGACUGAGGGGCUAGAGUGUGGGAGAGGAAAGUGGAAGUCCUGGUGUAGCGGUGAAAUGCGUAGAUAUCAGGAGGAACACCGGUGGUGUAAACGGACUUUCUCGGACCGAUAACUGACGCUGAGGCACGAAAGCGUGGGUAGCAAACAGG